GACGAACGCUGGCGGCGUGCUUAACACAUGCAAGUCGAACGGUGAAGGGGUCUGCUUUUGUGGGCCCUGGAUGAGUGGCGAACGGGUGAGUAACACGUGAGUAACCUGCCCCCUUCUUCUGGAUAACCGCAUGAAAGUGUGGCUAAUACGGGAUAUUCUGGGUCUGUCGCAGGAUGGGUCUGGGAAAGAUUGCGCCUUUGGGUGUUUUUGGUGGGGGAUGGGCUCGCGGCCUAUCAGCUUGUUGGUGGGUUGAUGGCCUACCAAGGCGGUGACGGGUAGCCGUCCUGAGAGGGUGGACGGUCACACUGGGACUGAGACACGGCCCAGACUCCUACGGGAGGCAGCAGUGGGGAAUAUUGCACAAUGGGCGCAAGCCUGAUGCAGCUACGCCGCGUGAGGGAUGGAGGCCUUCGGGUUGUAAACCUCUUUCGCCAGUGAAGCAGGCCUGCUCCUUGUGGGUGGGUUGACGGUAGCUGGAUAAGAAGCGCCGGCUAACUACGUG
rnacentral:rRNA from 1 species